GGCUCGUUGGUCUAGGGGUAUGAUUCUCGCUUUGGUUGCGAGAGGUCCUGGGUUCCAAUCCUUGUUGAGCCC